CUCUGGAGUCUCCAGUGCCUUGGGAAAAUGAACGAAGGUGGCGAGUUUAGCAUCUGUAGCCGGUAGAAAAACAAAGUCGUAGGCACCAGCAGACCUCGGGUGAGAGCUCACAGGUGCAGGAAGGAGCCACCUACAGCUGCUGAGGAUGCACGACUAGGGCCAGGCUGAUUUCUGGAGGGAUUGGCAGAUGUGGAAGUGGUUAAGGUUGCUUGAACCCAGGAAGAAAGUUCUUAUCCCUGAGACAUCCCUGUGCUAUGCUGUAGCCAGUGUGCUGGCCACUCCAGGGACACAGAAAUCCUUGCCUCCUCGAGCACACUGUGAGCUGGGGAAACAUACUGAGUUCUAUACAUCGACAGGGGGGUUGGAAAGCAUCGAUCUAAAAGGCUGGCAGAAUGGCCAAAGACUAAAGAAAGCAUUAGACGGCGUGCGUGUGGUGCACAGCCACACAUGCCACCAAAUACUCAUUCACAUAAAAAUACGUCUUAUUUUACUUAAAGAAAGAGUGAGAUGGGGCAGAGCGAGAUUUGAGAGGACCUGGAAAGGCUUUUUCUCCCCGGUGGACACCAGCCGGUUGUAAAACAGUAACAUUGUAACAUUGUAGCCUAAGGAGGACAAGGAGAAUCCAGAUUUCAGCACUUUUGGUGCUGGGAUUUAAAAGUGCGCAGCUUACUGGUAAAGAUCAAAGGAAUCACCACAGGGAAGGCAGAAUGGGAGCAGAACCCCUGUCAGUGUGUGGUGGUGGGGGUGAAACUGGACAGUGACCUAAAAGGCAUUUUACAGAUUAAGCCCCUCCCCACCAUCUUUACACCGUUCCUGGUCUGGCUUCCCGGUAGCUCUGUCUGUCUUCAUGACCCUGCCCCCCACUCUGGUAGCUUUCUCACCAGAGCCCCUGAGCUCCUCUUCGCCCACUGCCGUGCCAGAUGAAGGCACAGACACCAGCUCCGAGAUCGCCACCAAGGACUUGAAGGAGAAGAUGUUGUGCAGGAGGCAGAGAAUGAAGAGAUGCCCUUGACAACGGGAAUGCCGGAAAUGGGGAUCAGGAGGCUGGGGUGAGGCAGGUAAGGAAGAGGACAGAGAGGAAGCUGAGGCUGAGGCUGAGGCAGCCACAGGCCAGUGGGCUGCUGAAGAUGACAAGGAUGAUCAUGCUGAUACUGUGGAGCCGGAGAUGGAUGAGGACGAUUGGACAGCAAAGAAGAAAAGGUUAAUCCUAAAAGGCUACCAUGGCCUCUUCACCCUCCACUUCCCAGCUCAGCAUCCCUGUGCAUUCACCUGUGGGUAGCAAGGUUGCCUACAGUGGGCAGUCUCAUGGGAAGAGCACACACACACUACACACACACAUACUGCUGAAAUCAGGAUCGGCUCUGAACCCAGUGACAUCACACCUAGGUGACAGUGACCUGUACAUGUGUGGCCAUGGCGACUGCCAUACAUUCCCCGAAUCCUCUUGGCUCACCUCCCACCUUUACCUGCAAGCGACUACGUCAUCCAAAUAAAAGGAAGACCCCUCUGACCCCUCUCUCCCCUCCCUUCUUCAAUGCCACCUUUGCUCUCUUCCUCCACAAUAAACCUCUGCCA
rnacentral:lncRNA from 1 species